GGGGGUGUUCCGGUCUCGACUGGAUGUGCUUAGCGUCAGUGGCAUGCCGAGGAUGAUCGUUGGCCUCGUUAAUCAUCGGUCAAAACUAUAAUUGCGAACGAAGAGUACGCACUCGCUGCCUAAUUACGCGUAGCGACGUUUUCACCCGGACGGGUGCUAUGGGAUGAAAACGUUGGCAGCACCCUGGUUCAAACAGUGUUUCCGGCGCUGUCGGACGAGAUUUCAGUCGGAAUAGUCUUGAAGGGGCCUGUUUGCCGGCUUCCGGAUGGACGAUAAACAAUAAAGACAAAAUAAGCAUGUAGAGGCUGCCGUAACGCCUUCACAGGACAGGGGUUCAACUCCCCUCACCUCCACCA
rnacentral:tmRNA from 1 species